AAAAUGUUUAUAUUAUUGUGGAGGGAGUCAGCGACGGUCCGUGCUCCAGCUUUCGCCACCAGUGGCUGUUUUCUUUCUCCUCUCCCCAAACUCCAAGUCCCACCAAAACUGAGUUUCAAAAGCAGAGGAGAAGAAGAUGACAGCGGCUCUAAACCUGCCUAUCAUAGACUUGUCCUCACCAGAUUCCCUCUCCUCCGCCACUUCCAUCCGUCAGGCAUGCAUAGAGUGUGGUUUCUUCUACUUAGUGAAUCAUGGUGUUGAGGAAGAGUUGCUCGGGCAAGUGUUCGAGGAGAGCAGCAAACUGUUUUCGCUGCCAUUGGAGGACAAGUUGAAAUUGGCUCGCAAGCAACACAGAGGUUACACCCCACUCUUUUCAGAGAACCUCGAUCCCACUUCCACCACCAAAGGUGACUCGAAAGAGAGUUAUUAUAUCGGACCGUUAGAUGACGUAACUCGCAGUAAUUUGAAUCAAUGGCCUUCAGAAGAUAUCCUACCAUCUUGGAGACCGACAAUGGAAUCCUACUAUAGAAAAGUCCUGUCUGCUGGAAAAAGAUUAAUCUCACUGAUUGCCCUGGCUUUGAACCUGGAUGAGGAGUUUUUCGAGAAAGUGGGGGCGCUGAAUAAGCCAGCAGCAGUUCUUCGCCUUUUGCACUAUCCAGGUCAACUGGGAUCAACUGAUGAAGAAAUAUAUGGUGCUUCUGCUCAUUCAGAUUAUGGGAUGGUCACUCUCCUUGCAUCAAAUGGAGUUCCUGGACUUCAGGUUUGUAGGGAAAAAUCUAAACAGCCACAGAUCUGGGAAGAUGUUCUUCACAUAGAUGGGGCAUUCAUUGUUAACAUUGGGGACAUGUUGGAGAGGUGGACUAAUUGUUUGUUCAGGUCAACACUGCAUAGAGUGAUGCCAGCAGGACAAGAACGCUUCUCUGUAAUCAUUUACCUUGUGGUCCAAUUUUUACUUGCUUACUAAGAACAUUUCGUAUGACUACACUCCAGAAUGAAAUGGUGGCAUUCUUCUUAGACCCCAAUGAAGACUUUGUGGUGGAAUGUCUGAAAAGUUGUUGCAGUGAAGCUUCACCCCCAAGAUUUCCUCCCAUCCGCAGUGGGGACUACCUGAAAGAGCGACUCAGGCUUACAUAUGGCUCAUAGGACUGAAUUUAAAAGCACUGGCUUAGCUUUUCAGAUCCUAGGCUGCAUCUGGUGGUAUAUGCAAACUAAAAGGUGUCAUGAGCCCUCACUAUCUGUCUUUUGUAGUUGCAAGUACACGAUGAUGAUAUUAUGUGAUUAUAAACGGCCUUUAGAACCAUAUAAGUUAUAACUCAAUACAAGUUGUUCCAUAAUUCUGUUUUCCAUGGAAACAAAUUGCUUGGUAUUUAGAU